UACGGAGGGGGCAAGCGUUAUUCGGAAUUAUUGGGCGUAAAGGGCGCGUAGGCGGCUAGAUGUGUCAAAGGUGAAAUCCCUCGGCUCAACUGAGGAACUGCCUUUGAAACUGUCUGGCUUGAGGCCGGGAGAGGGUAGCGGAAUUCCCAGUGUAGCGGUGAAAUGCGUAGAGAUCCGGAAGAACACCGGUGGCGAAGGCGGCCCGCUGGGAUACUUGCUGACGCUGAGGCGCGACAGCGUGGGGAGCAAACAGG
rnacentral:rRNA from 1 species